rnacentral:lncRNA from 1 species
GUGCGUUCGCGGGCUCAGCUCGGUGGCCUCUGCGCACCCCACGUAUUGCUAAUAUUAUAAAAUAUGUCUUUUCACAGCUUCACGCACCCAUGAUGUAAUGGGCAGCUGUGACUGGCAACAUAGCAGAAAAAUUACAGAGCAGUGUGUUGCAUUUUCUUCCACGGUUUUCCUUGGCUGAAGUACGUCUACGGUAGAUGGAGGCGUUAACUGAGGCUGUUCUCCGGAUUAACCCAGCUUGGUUGCUUGGACGUUUCACCUUUUCCCGGGGAGGGUCUCCACAACUCUUCUCUUGCCUUCACCCCAGUGCASAACUAAUAAGAAAGACUGGAAAGAUUCGUUGUUGUCCGGAGCUGCUGGCUUUUCUUCUUGACGCUCCCGUCUCUGCCCUUCUGCUUGUUAGUGUCCCAGGGAGGGCCGCUGAGGUCUCACCCGUCUGAACAUCCCGGGCGUGAAUAUGGGCAGCAGGCGCUCCAGYGCUCGUUAACUUCAGCAGAACCUGGCGACGGACCAAGCCCUGGAGAGGCCGCGCGGCUCUGCCACCGGACCGGCCUAGCAAGGGAGGGCGACGUGCUUUGCUGUGACUGGUGUGACCCAGCUUCGGUCAGGACCUGCCUCACCUGCGGCCGGUUCCUCGGCCGUGGGGGAAGUCUGACUUCGUCUGCGACUGCCAGGUCCUCCCUGGCCACGGUCACGCGGCAGCGCUGGGCGCUGCUGACUCCUGUUCCAGCUGYGAAUGGGAAAACUGAGCCAUGGAAAACGCUUUGUGGCAGCAAAGGAUGCCUUUUCCUUGGUCUGAGCACCGCUAUCCACGUCCAUGACACCAGAGAAGGUAAAUCCAAACUGUGCUGUCGUUUCCAAGCAAAGGGAAGG